rnacentral:rRNA from 1 species
CAGCAGCCGCGGUAAUACGUAGAUGGCAAGCGUUGUCCGGAAUUAUUGGGCGUAAAGGGCUCGCAGGCGGUUUCUUAAGUCUGAUGUGAAAGCCCCCGGCUCAACCGGGGAGGGUCACUGGAAACUGGGAAACUUGAGUGCAGAAGAGGAGAGUGGAAUUCCACGUGUAGCGGUGAAAUGCGUAGAGAUGUGGAGGAACACCAGUGGCGAAGGCGACUCUCUGGUCUGUAACUGACGCUGAGGAGCGAAAGCGUGGGGAGCGAACAGGAUUAGAUACCCGGGUAGUCCCUGUCUCUUAUAC